CCUGACACCACCACGUGAAGCGACACCGGUGGUGGCACUGAGCCGUUAGAAAACCGACUCCCUGCAGCAGUCCAAUACAGCUAGACCCGCAGCGCCAUUCCCCUUUGGUGAUUUCUACAGCAACCUAUGGCUGUUCCCUCCGGAAACGCUCAAUUUGUUACCUGAUGCCGUGGAGCAAUGACCCAGCCUAGAAAUUCUCUUUUGUUUGCAUACGGCAUCGACCCAUCCAACACCCGUCAGUUUUUUAUGCGACCAGUGGAUGGAGUGGUUUGGCAAUCAAGCUCUUACUUUUGGUGGAGAUGUGUCAGAAGAGGUUGAUUUGGUGGAUUCAAUGAUAAGGCAGGAAGAUACUUCUCUUUUUUAACUGAACUAGUCUAUACCAUUUACUUACUACAUGGUUGUCAUUUGUCCAUGUGGUUGAUGCUUAGGGAAUGGUUGAUAUUUUGAUUAAUAAUGUAGGUACCCAUAAUUUUUUUUAAAUAUUCUCGAGAUUCGUGGUAUUUUUACUUAUGUUGUUUUUUUUUCCAGUUACUUUAAAAGAAAUAAGGAAUUACUCAGGAUGGUUUAUAGGUGAGAAUGAAGACAGUUCAGUGGCAGGAGGUGAUAAUUGAUUUGAAUCGUACGGGUGUUUAUCCCUGUACUCGGAACAAAGAGUUUGUGGUUCAAGUAUCUGUUCUUGAAUAGAGUUUGUUCCUUUUUCAGGCAGAAUCCAAUAUUAUGAUGAAAACGAUGAAGGUUGUUUUCUCUGUCUCCCAUAUUUUGAACUCCGAUGCUACUACUACUAAGAGAUGUGCAGCAAGAUGUAGCCACCAAGGUCAAUUUCUCUCUCUCAUUAUUACUCCAUUUUCAUUUUUUUAUCUCUUCUUUUCAAAGUUGGUCAUUAUUCAGACUUAGAAACUUUAGACACCUUCGUUUAUGUUUUUAUGAAAUUCAAAUACAAUAACAAUCUCGAAAAGUUAAAAUUUAAUUUUGCUUAUCGUCUCUUCUCCCUUUUAGUCUGUCUUUUUAGCUCCCUCUCUUUAAAAAUUGUGUUACUAUUUUCUAAUAAGUUUAAAAAUUUAUUAUUUCUUUUAUUUGAAAGUCCAUGUCAACGAAGAUCAGUUGAGUGUGGAUAUUAUGUCAGGAAGUACAUUCGACAAAUAAUGCAUAAUCCAAACACUUAAAUUACUAAUCUUGUAUAUCUUUCAUGCAAACUCAAAACACAAUUCUACUUUUAUGUGUUCCUUUUAUAUUUGAAAUACUUGCAUUAUCUAUCAAUUUUUUUUACAUGUAAUUCAAUUCAAAAAAGCUGCAUACUCAAAUAAAACUUGAUGAGGUACCAGAUGAAUAGAUCAUGGAUUUAUUGCAAACUAUACGCAGUUGGGCAAACAUAGUAAAUAUAGUUUUCAUUAUUUUUGUUUUUAAUAUGUAAAACCUUGAAGCAUUUAUACAUUUCAAUUAAUUAUGGUUGUAUUAA